rnacentral:rRNA from 1 species
CCUACGGGAGGCAGCAGUGAGGAAUAUUGGACAAUGGGCGCAAGCCUGAUCCAGCCAUGCCGCGUGCAGGAUGACGGUCCUAUGGAUUGUAAACUGCUUUUAUACAGGAAGAAACACCUCUACGUGUAGAGACUUGACGGUACUGUAAGAAUAAGGAUCGGCUAACUCCGUGCCAGCAGCCGCGGUAAUACGGAGGAUCCAAGCGUUAUCCGGAAUCAUUGGGUUUAAAGGGUCCGUAGGCGGUUUAGUAAGUCAGUGGUGAAAGCCCAUCGCUCAACGGUGGAACGGCCAUUGAUACUGCUAGACUUGAAUUAUUAGGAAGUAACUAGAAUAUGUAGUGUAGCGGUGAAAUGCUUAGAGAUUACAUGGAAUACCAAUUGCGAAGGCAGGUUACUACUAAUUGAUUGACGCUGAUGGACGAAAGCGUGGGUAGCGAACAGGAUUAGAUACCCUGGUAGUCCACGCCGUAAACGAUGGAUACUAGCUGUUGGUAGCGAUCUCUAGUGGUCGUAGACGAAGUAGAGUAAGUAAUACCCUACCCGUACGGGUAGGUACGGAACGACGAACGUUAGUAACGUACGUAACGUAAGUAAGUUAGGUACGGUACGUAGAGACGACGACCGACGGACGACGACGGAGGGAGGGAGG